rnacentral:rRNA from 1 species
CCAAGGCGACGAUCGGUAGCCGGACUGAGAGAGUGAACGGCCACAUUGGGACUGAGACACGGCCCAGACUCCUACGGGAGGCAGCAGUGGGGAAUAUUGCACAAUGGGGGAAACCCUGAUGCAGCGACGCCGCGUGAAGGAAGAAGAUUUUCGGAAUGUAAACUCCUAUUAUCGAGGAAGAUAAUGACGGUACUCGACUAGGAAGCCCCGGCUAACUACGUGCCAGCAGCCGCGGUAAUACGUAGGUCACAAGCGUUAUCCGGAAUUACUGGGUGUAAAGGGAGCGCAGGCGGUGAAGACAAGUUGGAAGUGAAAUCUAUGGGCUCAACUCCUAUAGACUGCUUUCGAAACUGUUUUUCUUGAGUAGUGCAGAGGUAGGCGGAAUUCCCGGUGUAGCGGUGGAAUGCGUAGAUAUUGGGAGGAACACCAGUGGCGAAGGCGGCCUACUGGGCACCAACUGACGUUGAGGCUCGAA